AGGACGAACGCUGGCGGCGUGCUUAACACAUGCAAGUCACGGGGGCCCGUAGCAAUACGGGCAACCGGCGAACGGGUGCGUAACACGUGAGCAAUCUGCCGAUCUCUGGGGGAUAGCCAGCCUAACGGCUGGGUAAUACCGCAUACGCUCGUUGGGGGGAGUCCCCUGAUGAGGAAACCUCUGGGGGAGAUCGAGGAGCUCGCGACCUAUCAGCUAGUUGGCGGGGUAACGGCCCACCAAGGCAGCGACGGGUAGCUGGUCUGAGAGGAUGGCCAGCCACAUUGGGACUGCGACACGGCCCAGACUCCUACGGGAGGCAGCAGUGGGGAAUAUUGCGCAAUGGACGAAAGUCUGACGCAGCGACGCCGCGUGUGGGAUGAAGCCUUUCGGGGUGUAAACCACUGUUGCCCGGGACGAACUCCUCUUUCGAGAGGAUUGACGGUACCGGGUGAGGAGCACCGGCUAACUCUGCGCCAGCAGCCGCGGU
rnacentral:rRNA from 1 species